rnacentral:misc_RNA from 1 species
GAUGAAGAACGUAGCGAAAUGCGAUACGUAAUGUGAAUUGCAGAAUUCAGUGAAUCAUCGAGUCUUUGAACCCACAUUGCGCCCCCUGGUAUUCCGGGGGGCAUGCCUGUCCGAGCGUCAUUGCUGCCCUCAAGCACGGCUUGUGUGUUGGGCCUCCGUCCUCCUCCCGGGGGACGGGCCCGAAAGGCAGCGGCGGCACCGCGUCCGGUCCUCGAGCGUAUGGGGCUUCGUCACCCGCUCUUGUAGGCCCGGCCGGCGCUUGCCGACACAUCAAUCUUUUUUCCAGGUUGACCUCGGAUCAGGUAGGGAUACCCGCUGAACUUAAGCAUAUCAAUAAGCGGAGGA